GCCUUGGUGGUGGAAUUGGUAGACACGCAGGACUUAAAAUCCUGUGACCAUUGCGGUCGUGCGGGUUCAAUUCCCGCCCGAGGUA
rnacentral:tRNA from 1 species